rnacentral:rRNA from 1 species
UGUGACGGUACGGGGAUCAGGGUUCGAUUCCGGAGAGGGAGCCUGAGAAACGGCUACCACAUCUAAGGACGGCAGCAGGCGCGCAAAUUACCCAAUCCAAACACUGGGAGGUAGUGACGAGAAAUACCAAAGUGUGCCGAAAGGGACACUAUUGGAAUGAACGUAACAUAGUACCUUCGAUGAGUACCUACUGGAGGGCAAGUCUGGUGCCAGCAGCCGCGGUAAUUCCAGCUCCAGUAGUGUAUAUCAAAAUUGUUGCGGUUAAAACGCUCGUAGUUGGAUUACAAGGGUUGUGCGUCGAGAAAUCACUUUGAUUUUCCGGCGUGGGGCCUUUUUAUCGCAAGAACCGUGUGUGUGCUUCAUCGUGUAUGCACGGCCACUUGCGGAGCGUGCCUUGAAUAAAGCACAGUGCUCAAAGCAGGCGUAACGCUUGAAUGUUGUAGCAUGGAACGAAUACUCUGAUUCGAGUUCGAUUGGUUCUCUGAACUGGGUCAUGAUUAAAAGGGACAUUUGAGGGCGUUAGUACUUGGUGGCGAGAGGUGAAAUUCUUAGACCCACCAAAGACUCACAAAUGCGAAAGCAUUCGCCAAAAAUGUUUUCAUUAAUCAAGAACGAAAGUUAGAGGUUCGAAGACGAUCAGAUACCGUCCUAGUUCUACACAGUAAACUAUGCCACCACGAGACUAGUCCGGAGGACAGUCCAGGUUGGUCUCCCAAGGAAACUGAAAGCUUUCGGGUUCCUCGGGGAGUACGGUCGCAAGACUGAAACUUAAAGGAAUUGACGGAAGGGCACCACCAGGAGUGGAGCCUGCGGCUUAAUUUGACUCAACACGGGGCAACUCACCAGGUCCAGACAUUGACAGGAUCGACAGACUGAUAGAUCUUUCGAGAUCCAAUGAUUGGUGGUGCAUGGCCGUUCUUAGUUGGUGGAGUGAUCUGUCAGGUCUAUUCCGGUAACGAGCGAGACCACGAUCUCUAUUUGAUCGCGGCCGUCCUCUUGAGGAUGGCUGGUCAUAGAGAGACAACCGGAGACAAGCCGGGGGAAGCGUGGCAAUAACAGGUCUGUGAUGCCCUUCGAUGUUCUGGGCCGCACGCGCGCUACAAUGGCAGUGACAACAAGUUUCUGCGUCGAGAGGCGUGGAAAAUCUUGACAAUCGCUGUCGUGAUUGGGAUUGAGCCUUGUAAUAAUUGCUCAUGAAAGAGGAAUUCCUCGUAAGCGCGAGUCAUCAACUCGUGUUGAAUACGUCUCUGCCCUUUGUACACACCGCCCGUCGCUACUACCGAUUGAAUGACUUUUCGAGAGGUCGGGAUUGGGUGCCGCAAGGCGCCUGAGAGCUACCUCGA